rnacentral:lncRNA from 1 species
CUGGAUGGGUGGUACUGGUUGGCCUCAUGGUGGAAGCAGAAGUGACCGUGUGUGGGCUGGCUGGCGUGCUGGGAGAGGUGGGUGCUACUGAGGUCGUCGUGAGGGUUGGAGAGACACUGGGAGGUAGGGUCUGGGGUUCAGAUGUGGUUGGAAAGGUGCUGGUGGUCGUGAGCGACGUUCCCGAGGUGGGUUCCGUUGUUUGUGGAGGGUGGGACACGGGCAGCGUGCGUGCGCUAUGGCUGGGUGAAUGGGUCUGCAGCGUGCUUGACGUGAUUUCCGUGUGUUGCAUUGUUGAUGCUGUCGCGGUGCCCCUGCUCUCCCUGGUAUGCUGUGUGGCCAGGGCGGUCUCUCCCAAAGUGUAUUGUUCUGUUGUCUGUGUGAGUGUGACCGGCCCUGUUCCUGGCAUUUUCUCUUGGGUGCUUGUCCCUGUGGGUGUAAAGGAGUGUCAUCAUGCAGUCUGUCUCUCCCUUUAGACCUCUGGUUUUUGCUCCCGUCUUGUUCCCUGUACCCCUUUCAGGCCAUCUGGGUUCCUUGAGCCAUUCAUAGGCGCUGUUACUCUGAACUUGAGGUUCCUCUUCCUCCCCACUUGUGCAGUCCCGGAUGUGCCGUUUGUGGUACUGGUUUUCGGCAUGGGGCCCCAGGGUUUGGUGUGUGCGUGGUUCCAGGCUGCCCCCCGUGUCCCCAUAUGCUGGUGGGCCCAUCCUUCCCCUUUAUCCUAUGGGAAGUCCUGGACUUCCUCCAUGGCUGACCUGCCGUGCUCAGCUGUGCUGGGACUCGUGGCCUGGGACUCCAGGUGUCCCAUGGGCCCUUGCUCACCUUGUCCAGGAUUCCUUGUCCACGUGCUCACGGUCAGUGGUACCACUGUGGUCCGUGCUGUGGACUGAGCUGUGGAUGUAGUGGCUGGGCUGGGGGAUGAUGCUGUGGGCUCUGUCGUUGCUGUAGUGACUGUAUAUCCUGUGGCUGUUGACAUCACCGUGACUGUAGGCACCCGAGGAGAGGUGGCAGGUGUGGUGACUGCCGUGGUGGUCGGAGGGGAUUCUGCAGGGAACAGGCCCUCUUUGUGUUCCCCAGCCCGUGUCUGAGGUCCCUCCCUUUCCUGAGACCCAGGCCCUUUCCUGCCUCAGCCUCCUGGAGGAGUACUGGCCUCUUGGCUUCCCUGCUCUGACCCUGCACCUUCCAUUGUCUGUGUGGCAGUGGUGUCCUGGUGCCAGGAGCAGUGAACACAGGGUCCUCUGGGCCCGCUGGGUGGACAGAUGUCCGGUCCCCUCAGUGCCUGGGCAGCAGGACAUGUCCUCCUGCCCUGUGGUCUCACUGCACUGUGGACCUGAGGGGCUGGUGCGG